UACGGAGGAUCCAAGCGUUAUCCGGAUUCAUUGGGUUUAAAGGGUGCGUAGGCGGAAUGAUAAGUCAGUGGUGAAAUCUCGGAGCUUAACUCCGAAACUGCCAUUGAUACUGUCAAUCUUGAGUACAUUUGAUGUGGGCGGAAUGUGUCAUGUAGCGGUGAAAUGCUUAGAUAUGACGCAGAACACCGAUGGCGAAGGCAGCUCACAGAACUGUUACUGACGCUGAGGCGCGAAAGAGUGGGUAUCGAACAGG
rnacentral:rRNA from 1 species